UGUGAAUUGGUAGAGAAUGAACACCGCUUUUCCAGGAUUCCAGCAGGAGGAAGACCUUCCGGGGAAGCUGUUCCAGAGUUCAGUUAGAAAAUGAAAUACUGCAAAUGUUAGUGAAGAUUUUAUCAUCAAAUUUCAUGGGCUUUCCAUGCCAUCCUAUUAUCCAGCUCCUCAUGCUACCCCUCUGGGUACAAGGAUCAGUUCCAGACCAAGAAAUUUUUGAAAAUUAUUUGAAAAAAGUUUUGCUUAUAAUUUGAACAUGAAAAUCAAGAGAAGUGGAUGAAAAGCAGAGAGCAUAACAUGAGAUAAUCGACAUAAGAUAAAGCACAAAAAUAAUGAGACAGCUAUAUUGGGAGAAAACAUGACGAUUUUCUGCAAUUUAACAACUCCAGCAGACGUUGUUCAAAUUACCUGGCAGAAGAUCCAAGAUUCUUUGCCACAAAAUAUUGGCACGUAUAGCAGUAAAUAUGGAGAAAAGAGUCUUCCACCAUACAUAGAUCGGCUACAUUGUGAGGCCAUCGAACCCAAUUCCUCAUUCAUAACUAUCUGAGAGGUGACAUUUGAAGUCGAAGCCUGCUACAAAUGUUUAUUUAAUGUGUUCCCACACGGAAGCCACGGAGGACAAAUCUGCCUUAACAUUAUAACUGUAUCUGAAUUAAGAACUGAACUCCAGUCCAAUCUUGACUCUGAAGAUUUUCUUAGACUUACUUACUCGGCUGUGGGAAAACCUGCUCCUCAAAUAUCUCUUUUCCCAUUACAAGUCUUAAUUAAUCCACCAGAGGAAUCCCUCGCUCUGAACCCCAAUGGCACAGUUACUAUCACUGAAAUGUAUAAUGUCUCCUUGGAGACUGCGAGGUCCCUAAGACUCCAACACCUGAUUGUGCACAUGGAUCAUCCUCUAAGGAAUGAAGAGAAGAUCAUUCCUCUGUCAGUCAAACAAGAAUGUCUGAGAAUGUGCUUGAAACCACACCCCAGCUGAGACAGCCUGGCAUGGACACCCUAAUGAACCACACACCUUAGUGAACACAGAGCCAAGAACUCCGGAACUUGUUAAAAUGAGAAGAAUCCUCAUCAUCAAUACAAAUGAAAGAAAACUCCUCACAUAGAGAAAAAAACCCAGUCACAUCAUGAAUGGAGAGAUCAUUACAGCAUUGAUGGCUUCAAUAUAUAAUUUGGUUCUGGAUAAAAAUAUACAUUUGUUUUGUAAAGUGUCUAUUGGUUAAAUUCAGCUUCAAAAUAUUUGGAUUUUCCGAGGUGGUAAUUGUGGAAACUGUGUAACAUUUCUCAAAAAUCAUUUCGUACUUGCCAGCUCCACAGUGUAGAUUGCCAUUCCUCCAAGCGCCAACGCAGUGAAACAAUUCAUGUCUUCCCACCUCUCCCUGAUUCCUUUCUCUGUCUGCACAAUGAAAAUGGAAACGGUGUAUAUUUUUUCAAACAUUUUCUGUUUCCCCAGUUGCCACCUCUGAAAACUGCGAAUCGUUUUGAAGAUAGGAAAAGAGGAGUACUAUUUAUUUUAUUUUAUCCCCUACAAGUAAACUGGAAAAACUGGC